rnacentral:rRNA from 1 species
UACGGGGGGGGGCAAGCGUUGUUCGGAAUUACUGGGCGUAAAGGGCUCGUAGGCGGCCAACUAAGUCCGACGUGAAAUCCCCAGGCUUAACCUGGGAACUGCGUCGGAUACUGGAUGGCUUGAAUUCGGGAGAGGGAUGCAGAAUUCCAGGUGUAGCGGUGAAAUGCGUAGAUAUCUGGAGGAAUACCGGUGGCGAAGGCGGCAUCCUGGACCGACAUUGACGCUGAUGAGCGAAAGCUAGGGGAGCAAAUGGG